rnacentral:lncRNA from 1 species
CGGAUUCAUAGGAGAUACUUUGCAAGAUCAAAGGAGACUCACAUUUCAGGCAAAAAGAAUGAUUCCUCAGCAGUCAUUGUGAAAUUUUGUGGGCCACAAGUAUUGUGCACACAUGAUCCUUGAUUUAGAGUCAACCUGAUGUCCAUUAUAGCUGUGGAAAGGCAGCAGGCAGUUGUGUCGCUCUUCACAAUAAGGAACACAUCUUGCUUUCAGCAUGUGAGAGGAACAAAAGCAUUGAUGUAAAUGUGCCUCAAAG